rnacentral:rRNA from 1 species
GACGAACGCUGGCGGCGUGCUUAACACAUGCGAGUCGAACGGAAAGGCCCUGCUUUUGUGGGGUGCUCGAGUGGCGAACGGGUGAGUAACACGUGAGUAACCUGCCCUUGACUUUGGGAUAACUUCAGGAAACUGGGGCUAAUACCGGAUAGGAGCUCCUGCUGCAUGGUGGGGGUUGGAAAGUUUCGGCGGUUGGGGAUGGACUCGCGGCUUAUCAGCUUGUUGGUGGGGUAGUGGCUUACCAAGGCUUUGACGGGUAGCCGGCCUGAGAGGGUGACCGGCCACAUUGGGACUAAGAUACGGCCCAGACUCCUACGGGAGGCAGCAGUGGUGAAUAUUGCACAAUGGGCGGAAGCCUGAUGCAGCAACGCCGCGUGCGGGAUGACGGCCUUCUGGUUGUAAACCGCUUUCGCCUGUGACGAAGCGUGAGUGACGGUAAUGGGUAAAGAAGCACCGGCUAACUACGUG